CCACAUGAUCGCAUGUGAUUGUGGGAAAGAUUCUAUCGGCGUGGGAUGGGGUCGCGUCCUAUCAGCUUGUUGGUGAGGUAACGGCUCACCAAGGCUUCGACGGGUAGCCGGCCUGAGAGGGCGACCGGCCACAUUGGGACUGAGAUACGGCCCAGACUCCUACGGGAGGCAGCAGUGGGGAAUAUUGCACAAUGGGCGCAAGCCUGAUGCAGCGACGCCGCGUGAGGGAUGGAGGCCUUCGGGUUGUAAACCUCUUUUGUUUGGGAGCAAGCCUUCGGGUGAGUGUACCUUUCGAAUAAGCGCCGGCUAACUACGUGCCAGCAGCCGCGGUAAUACGUAGGGCGCAAGCGUUAUCCGGAUUUAUUGGGCGUAAAGGGCUCGUAGGCGGCUCGUCGCGUCCGGUGUGAAAGUCCAUCGCUUAACGGUGGAUCUGCGCCGGGUACGGGCGGG
rnacentral:rRNA from 1 species